GUCGUGCAUUUACUAUGUCUUGAAUAUUUUAAAUCACUUCUAUUCCCAUGUUGUUUUUGGUAGAAUUGUUUCCUAAAGAAAACCACUCCUAGAUCUUGGCUCUCCCGGUCAGAGUUCUUGUGCACUCUGUAACAUCUUGGGCGUGGUAGUCCGGUUUUCCUAGUAACUCUGUUAAUGUGCUGUGCAAGAUUGAGAAUUUGAGUAUGUAGAGAUGGGAAGAGGGUC